GCCCAGGUGGCGGAAUUGGUAGACGCGCACGGUUCAGGUCCGUGUGGGUAACACCGUGGAGGUUCGAGUCCUCUCCUGGGCACCA
rnacentral:tRNA from 5 species